CGCAUCAAGCCCCAACCCACCACCACCAGCUCCACUCCCCUCCGGUUUCCGCCGCCCGCCCAAGCCGCCUCCGGCAAGGACCUGGCCGGCGCCACCGCCCCUUCCCCGGCGGCCCGCCCACGGCCAGGCGCGCCCUGUCCUCCCUCCCCGCGCUCUGGCCGUGGCCCGCCGGUGUGCUCCUCCUCCCUUCGUCCGGGGCCCCGGGUCGUGCCUCCCGCCUCGCCUCGCCUCCUCGCGCCUGGUUUGGAUUCGCUCGUCCUCGAUUCGCCGCCCGUUUAGGUUUAGAACCGCGCAAGAUUUGGUUUCUGCUCGUGCUCAAUUCGUCCGUUUGGGGUUGCGCCUGGUUUGAUUUUGCUCGUCCUCGCCGUCGCCCGUUUGGGGUCUCGUCCGGUUCGAUUUUGCUUGUCGCCUUCGUCCGUUUAGAGUUGCCGUCCGGUUCGAUUUUGCUCGUCGCCGUCAUCCGUGUGGAAACGCGUACGCUUCGAUUUUGCUCGUCCUCGCCGUCGUCUGUGUGGAGUAGCGUCCGAUUCAAUUUUGCUCGUCUUCGUCGUCGUCCGUGUAGAGUCGCGUCCGGUUCGAUUUCGCUCGUCCUCGCCGUUGUCCCGAUGCGCUCGCGUGUUCUUGGUCCGUCUCGCCUCGUCGGGGGUCUCCAUCUCGUUUGCGAACUACCAACUCUUUCUUUCUGCGUGCGAUUCUGUUAUCCGAGAGGCACUCCGGGUCCUGGGUUUCGUGUUCGCGUCGGUUGCAGGAACGAACGAGGUCUGGUUUCGAAAUUGGAUUACGGCCGGAGACGGGGAGCGAUGUUCGUUUAUCGUGCUAGUUCAGACCGGUUCCUCGGUUACGUCACCUGCGUUGCUCUCUUGUGAUACUCUGUCAAUUCUUGGCCCUCUGUCAGUUCUUGUUGGCCCUCUGUCAAUUCUUGAGUUCUUGUUGUACCGGUUAGGCCUUUGCCGUGUGUGCUCUCAUCUUAGAUGGGGUGAUUCCUUAGUUCUGAUGGUGUAGACUGUUUAUGUUCUUUCCAAUUUGUUUCUUUUUUAUCAUGCUUUGCUUUGUUUUGCCUGCUGCUUAACUAAUUGAACACCUGCUGCUGUUACUGUUGGACAAAGGUUCCUUCUUUUCUUCCUGAUGUUGCUAUUUUACUCAUAGGAGUUCUAGAUGAGCUGCUGCUAGUUAGUUCCCCUUACACUACAUUCUAGAUUGAAUAGCAUAACUCAAGAAUUUUGUCAUUGCACACAUGGGCAUAUAUAUAUUUCUGUUGUGAGCAUAACUCCAGAAUUUAUUUAUCCAUGAAAGCACGUUCAUCACAUUUAUGCGCAUGUUUUUUUUUUGUCCAAGAAUUCUGUCGUGUCCCUUUCCUUUGGACAAAAAUUUCAACAAACCUAUAACGUGGACAUGUGCUGCUUGUUUUCAUGUGAUGAUGGUGAUCUAGUUGACUAGCCCAACUCUUAUGCUUUGACAUUUGUUAAUCCCCAGUUAGUGUGCUUGAAAAAUUAUUGCUUGUCAUGUUAAAUUUUAUGGCAUCAACUCGGUAUUGUGAUUAGUGACCUAGUACUCCGUAUUUGUGUGUAGACAGCUAACUUCUUUUUUCUUAUUUUUUUAGUGAUAUGCAUGUUCUGCUAUGUCUUAUGUUGAUAGUAUAUUCUUUUUUUUUAUUAUUCAUGUCCAGUCACUGGAGUAAUGCUUUUCUUGAUUUUCCUAGACUUUGUGACAAUUAAUUUAUAGUGCGAUCAUUGAGUUUCUGACAUCCUAUUGCAUAAAAUUCUGUUGUAAUGUUUGUUGGAUCAUUGAGUAGUUAAUAUUGAUUCUGAGCUUGUUGGAUCAUUGAACUUCUGCAUGCGCUUCUGUUAUCUGAGAGACACUCAUGAUCCCGCAUUUCGUGUUUGCGGCGGAGCGAUGAACGAUUACGUUUUGCGUUCCUGCGUUUUGUGUUCGCCGUCUGGUUUUGAAUUUGGAUUACGGAGACGGGGAGAGGCCAGAGUAAGGUCAGUUUCAGAUCGGUUCCGUCGCUGCGUUGAUCGUCGGCGAUUUCCAGACCUCAAACGCAUGCGCCCUUGUGAUACUCUAAUUUGGCUCGUGGUCGUUACGGUUGUUCUUACGUUCUUGAAUAACCCCAUCUUAUUCGCAGAGAUGGUGUGAUUCGUUAUGGUUCUUCUGAUGGCUGCUUAUGUUCUUUCGAAUUGAGUUCUUGUAAUGCUUUGCCUAUGUUCCCAAUGUCUGUCUUUCCAUAUAUGGGGAUGCAUUCAGACGUGCAAACCAUGUAGGCUGUGGUGUGUUUAUACUAUCUAUGGUGUGUUCUACACUAUCUGAUGUGGAACGUAGAAAUAUUGAUAUCACUUCUGUGCUAGUAUACUAGAUAUGGUGUGUUUCAUCCAAGUUAACCACAUCUCUUACAAAUUUUCCUUGGAGUGAUUGAUGUCUUGACGAAUAUAAUCAUUUAUGCUAACUUGGUAUUGGUAGUUCCUGAGGUAACACACCAGUACUUGUUUAGUGCAGACAAUUGACUGUUCUUUUUUCUGAACUUUUUUGUGAUAUGUGUGUUAUGUGGAUAUCAUAUUCUAAUGCUUUUCUAAGUAUUCAAGGUACAGACUUGUGGAUCUGGACAUGUCACAUUUGCUCUUUAUUGGGUUGCUAAGGACACUGAACAGUUUGGCUGGGCCACUGCACGACCUGGCUAAUCAGGAAGUGUUGCUAUGAAUCAAAUCUAUAAUGAAACAGACUGGGAGUAACAUCACAACUGACCAACUUAAAGAAUAUGUAUGGAAGACACUAAAGAGUGGAAAGUGAUUAGAGAGAAGCUUGCAGAACUGUGUGAAUCCGAACAACAAUGGUUGAGAGCAGCACAAAUGCUUAGUGGCAUUGACUUGGACUCAGGAAUCAGGAUGCUUGAUGACACAAACAAAUUAUCCAAGUGCGUCCAGAUUGAACGACGCUAUUUGGAGGAUGAUGAUGCAGUGAAUGCUGAAGCUUUUAUCAACAAAGCCUCGUUUUUGGUCACAAACAGCAACCAGGAAGUUCUGAAAUUACAAUACAAGGUCUGCUAUGCGAGUAAAUUCUUGGAAGCUUCAAUUCGAUACUAUGGGUAUCUGAGCAACGCCAAAUUGGGGAUGAGUAAGGCUUACUCCAUUCAGUUGUAGAUUUGUUUCUCUCUUUUGCAAUUUACUCCUUUUUAUUGUUCUGUCUUGUAUGGUUCUUUGUUUUACCUUGCGCCCGUGUAGUGGCUGUAUGUAAUAAAUUACCCUACUUGAUGCUCAUUUUUAAGUACUGCAGUGGUUAUUAGCAAGUCGUGUUUGGAACUGAUAUUGUCUCCAUAUUUUAUUCUCAAAUUUUUUGAUGGAACAUGUUUCUUGCUGCUGCUAUAACAUGCACAAUAUUGGCUGGUGCUGUGGCCCACAACGCUCUCGUGUUCUUGCUACAUUGUACAAGGUUGUUCCUGGCUAUGGUCAUGGAGUUCUACGUAAUACAGACCCAAGAUACUCGUGCCAAAGGGGGUUCACAUUGAAAUAUUUACCCGACCCAAGAUACUCGUGCCGAAGGGAGUUCACAUUGAAAUAUUUACCCGAGGACCCACUUUUCCAACUGGAAUGAAGAUCUGAAUCACCCUCACCCCUCUAGAGAAAUCAAUUUACUCAUUCAAGUUAUAGACUUUCUUUAUAGUUUUCUGGGUUUACUUCAGUUUUGCAUGUAUUAGUUUUCUCUUUGUGCCCCUAUCUAUCCUUGUUUCUUGUGUGCAAGCGCUCCAUUCUGUGUGUGUGACUCUGUGUGGCUUGACUUUGUGUGUGUGGCUUGAUUAUGUGUGUGGCUUGAUUGUGUGUGUGGCUUGACUGUGUGUAUGGGCUUGACUGUGUGUGUGAGAUUGUGUGUGGCUUGAUGGUGAAUAUGUGUGUGGCUUGACUGUGUGUGUGUGGCUUGACUAUGUGUGUUACUGUGUGUGAAUAUUGCAUUUGCUUGACGGUGUGGUUUGUAUAACUUGCGUUUUAUAUGUCAGGAUUGAUUGUUGUUUGUUGAAUUUGAACAGAUCUAACACUAUUCUUUUUUUUGAAUUUUUUUGUGAUUAUGUCUUAUGUGGAUACCACACUCUUUUUUGUAUUAUUGUUGUCCAGUCACUGGAAUAACGCUUUUCUAAGUAUUUAAGGUACAACCAUGUAGAUCUAGACAUGAUGCUGAUGGGUUGGGUUUGCAUACAAUGCAGUAUGGACCAACAAAAUGGUCUCAUUGCAAGGUGGACAUAUAGGCAAGAAAUGUCAAGAGAGAGAGAAGCUUGGACUAUUGAGAAGGAACAUGCAUUGAUUAAUGCCCAUCGGGUAUAUGGGAAUAGAUGGCCAGAAAUAGCAAAAGUUCUUCCUAGAAGGAAUCGGGUACUUCUAUUUGUUCUUAGGUUCUUCUCGCCUAUAGCUAAAGUCAAAGACGACAAAACCAAGUGGAUUAUUGGAGUUACAAGAUACACAAAAUCAUCGGUCAUCUAAAUCUUCUUUUCUAAUAUGACUGUUGGUGCUGCUCAUGAGUUCAGGCUAGCCACCGGCUUGGAAAUGAUGAGAGGCAAUCACUGUUGUCAACUUGAAACAUAAUUUUUUUUAGGAACGAAGAUCUGAAUCACCCUCCCGCCUCGAGAGAAAUCAGUUUAGUCAUCCAGGACCUUGUUGCUUGCAUUCUCGUGUCUUUUGGCAAGGAGAAAAUUAUCAUUUGGAGGGGAAAAGACAGCUGAAAACAUGCAAGAUAGUAUAUGCAGAAGACACACCCUUCAGUUAUUGAAUCAGAGUUUAGCGGUGAAGAACACUACAAUUUUUUGGUUGAUGGAUUGGUCUGAAUAGAUUGUAAGGGAUUUCCAUGAAGUGGUUAUUCGAAGAAUGGAACCAAUUUUAUGGCUUUCUAAAAUGGACGUGCAUAGAUCUGAGAAAGAAGAGAACAGGAAUCUAGCGGACGGAGGUCAUGUAGUAUUCACCAAUAGAUGAUAGAACCACAUAUUUUGGAAAUUCCUUGACAAAAAACACAAGAGCAUCAUUGUUUGGUCAAUUGCAGGUCAAUGUUGGCACUGGCCAGAUCAAGCAGGCAGUGGCGACACUAGACGAGGCGUCCUUGCACUGCAAGGCUGCCCUCGACAUAUGUGAAAAGUUUGGCAAGUUAAUCUUUUCCUCGAAUCAAACGGAAAUCUGAAAACUAUCAAAGAGAUACCAAAUGAUGAAUAUUUCAGAUGUCGACAGGCAUGGUUGACUAUGAUGUGCUCAUCGUUGACUCCACCACCGUUGGUUUUGAGGAUGGUACCUCAAGAAUGACCAGACCUGUGAGCACGCCGUCCUUGCAUUCACUCUUGGAGUGAAGAAUAGUAUCUGCUGUUUAAUAAGAGCCUUCUGAUCUUCGUACUAUAAAGACUGGAUGUGAUAGCCAUUGUGCUUACUAUCAAAACUGUUACUUGAUGAGAACAUUUUAAGCUAAUUCAAGAUAUGUGCUUCCCCCUUGAUGAAUUAUUAUACAUACUUCAGCAGGAAAAACGUGUUUAAUCUACCAUGAACGUAAAUGGACAAUAGCAGGAUGUUAAAACUUCAUAUAUGUUGUUGCUCAACGGAUAUAACUAUAACAUGAUGGUCUCAGUCUAUUUUUCAGAGUUCGAAACCUAUAUUAGUCAUCAUGAGAGUGAGAUUUGUAAAUUCCACCUUGAAUCAGUUAACACUUUCCCUUUGCUGUACAAUUUUUUUGUUCUUAUGAUGGUACCAUGCUUGCUAAUUAUAAGAGGUACAAAUAAACUAUUCUUUUGUUUGUCUAGAAAUAGUUUUUCUACUUUCUAUGCAUUGAAGAGAUAGCAAAUCCCUUGCUACAUGUACUAGGGCGAUGCCCAGGUUCACCAAAGGGUCUUUUCAUGCAUGAAAAAGAGAGUAUAUAUCAUCUACUCCCUCUGUUCACUUUUAUAAGACCGUUUAGACAUUUAAGACAACACCCAAAACAGUUCAAUCUCAUCUGUCUAAAACGUCUUAUAAAAGUGAACAGAGGGAGUAGCUAUUAUCAGGUUGUAGGUGUACACAUGGUUAUUGAGUACCAUGACAUAAUCAUCCAUAGUUUUGUGAAAUUUGAAUUCCCAUCUCUUUAUCGUAUUAUUCAUUUUGCACUCGGCUUUCAUAGAAGAUAAAGGUUUGUUUUGUUUUGUUCAUACGACCUGUUUUGGCUUUUGAGAUCAGUUGAAUGCUCUUGAUAUUUUGAAGUUUAUACUGCACUUCACAUAAAAAUAUCUGGGCAUAUGUUUCUUUAUUCAGCGAGGUGAACACCUAUACUCAGAUGCUUUUUCCACAGGCAUUCACCGUUUACUUGAUUACUGAUGGAAGGAUCUCCGUGCCAAUUGCUGUUGGGAACCAUUUGCCUCUACACCGAUGACCCUCAUGUUGUAUUAUACCAUGAGCUACCAUGACGUCCUCCACCGACCGCUAUUUGAACCUCAGCGCAUUCUUCUUUAGUUCAGCCGUCUCAACCUAGUGGCAUCGAAGUGCAUGCGUGAAUGCAGUAGGUUACCGUUACUCUGGCGAAAAGACAAGUGAUGGCAACAAGCAAGCUUUUAUGAGGUCGAGCAAAGAACCAGCAAUGUAGCUGCAUGUUUGUUUCAGUUGCUUGCUGUAAUUUGAAGGAAGAAUUUGUGAGCACAGAGGCAGUGAGUUAGCUAUUUAUGGGCAGGAGCCAGUUGUAAUGAUGUGUUGGCUGUGCCUACUCUGCUUAGAGAAGAGAAGAGAAGAGAAGAGAAGAGCAGAGUAGAGAAGAGUGUUGAUAUUUAGACAACUAGAGAUGCAAGAGGACCAGCCAAACACAUCCUUACAACGGUUAGAAAUAACUCGUACUAGCAAGAUGUUCUUACAAUGCUCUGAUUUCGUACAAGGAGAAAUUUUUAUUCUUUGUAUUUUGUCACUGAUGCCACUGAGAGAUGUUAACUUGUUUGGAAAGCAUAAGCACCUAGUGUACAUUCUGAACCGCAUCAAGUUAAUUUCA